AGUCUGCUCAAGGCAAUUUAGGCUUUCUCUAUAAUGUUCCUCCAGAUUCUUCCAGAGUCUAUCUACUGCUAAGUUGCAAAGCCUACUUUUUGUACCAAAAUAUGUAUUGGUUUUCUAUCACUGAGUAACAAAUUACCAUGAAAUUAGCAACUUAAAACAAGAUUCAGUUGUUAUCUCAGUUUCUGUAGGUCAGAAGUUAGGAUAUUGCUUACUUUGGUCCUCUGUUUAGGGUAUCACAAGGCUGAAAUCAAAAGAUCAGCCAGGAAUCAGAGGUUUGAGUGGGGAAUAAUUUGAUUCCUAGCUCCCUCAGGCUACCAGAAGAAUUCAUUUUCUUGGGGCUGUAGGAUUAAUAGAAUCUUGCUUCUUCAAAGCCAGCAAUGAAGAGAGAGAGACAGAAAAAGAAAGAGACCACUAGCAAGAUGGAGUCUUAUAUAAUGUAACAUAAACACUGGGAUGACAUCCAUCACAUUUGUCAUAUUUUAUUGAUCAGAAGCAAGUCAUAGGUUUUAUACACAUUCCAAAGGAGAGGAUUAUAUAAGGACAUGAACACAAGAAGAUAGAGAUUAUUAGAGUCACCUUAAAAUCUGUUUGCCACACUGAACUUUUUCAAAAUAGAACAAACAUAAUUUUCAGGGGAAGAACCCCUUCACGUUAAGAACAUGUGUAAAUUAAAACCCAGGAGCUCAAGGGUGGGUGGAAAGAGAAAAGCAAUUACGUAUGGAAAGAAAUUUUUUUUUACGUUUAUUUAUUUACUUUGAGAGACAGAGAGACAGAGAGAGCGAGCUGGGGAGGGGCAGAGAGAGGGAGAGAAGAGAGAAUCCCAAGCAGGCACCGCACUGUCAGCAUAGAGCCUGAUGCUGGGCUCAAACCCACAAACUGUGAGAUCAUGACCUGAGCCAAAAUCUAGAGUUGGACACUUAACUGCCUGAGCCAUCCAGGUGCCCCUGGAAAGAAAUUUUUUAAAAAGUUUCACUAUAGAUUACUAAGGGAGGUGUGGAGGAUGCCUUGCUAAUAAAGAUGAUGUAGAAAGAAGGAAAAUAUCCUGAAGGAUAAACUGGCUAGGGAAAGAUAUGUAGGUGAGGCAGGACUUAAAAUGUACUUUGGAUGAUGGAUAGUAUUUAGAGAUGAAGGUAGCAUUUCAUCACGUAGUGAAGGCAUGAAGACCACUUGGAGCUGGGAACCAACAUGGAACAUUGAAGGGACAGCUAGGAGACUGAAGUCAUUCGAUGGUUCUCUAACGUGGCUACACAUUGGAAUCAUCUGGAAACAUAAGAAAAUACUGAUUCCAGGCCCAUCAGUUUGGUCUCUAUAGCUGUCUUGGUUUUCCUCUUCCCCCCACCCAUGUUCAUUUGUUCCGUUUCAUAAAUUCCACAUAUGAGUGAAAUCAUAUGGUAUGUGUCUUUCCCUGAUGUAUUUCACUUAGCGUAAUACUCUAAAAAUAUAGAAGGAUUCACGAAUUUGUGUGCCUUCCUUGCCCAGGGGACCAUGCAUAUCUCUGUAUUGUUCCAAUUUUAGUAUAUGUGCUGCCGAAGUGAGCAUUCUUUCUAGUUUCUUAAGGUUGAAACUGAUGCCAUUGAUUUGAGACCUUUCUCCUUUUCUAAUAUAGGUGUUUAGUGCCAUAAAUUUUCUCUAAAUAUUAUUUAGUGACAUCCCACAAAAAGUUGUGCUUUCAUUUUUAUUUGGUUCAAGAUACUUUUUAAUUUCUCUUUUUAUUUCUUUUUUGACCCAUGAGUAUUUUAGAAGUGGACUAGUUUCCUAAUAUUUAGGGAUUUUCUGGAGAUUUUCCUAUUAUUAAUUUCUAAUUUAAUUUCAUUGUAGUCAGAGAAUGUACUUUGUAGGUAUGAGCACUUUAAAUUUAUUGAGACAACUAUUUUAGGGCCCAGCAUAUGCUCACCUUGGUAAAUGUUCCAUGUGUCCUUGACAAAAACUAUUGUAUUUGGGUGGCAUGUUCUGUAUAAACAUCAAUUUGGUCAUUUUGGUUAGCAUUACUGUUAGGCUUUUUUUUCUAUCCUUAGUGAUUUUCUGUAUACUUGGUCUAUCAAUUAUUGAGAGGGGAUAUUGAAAUUGUUUACUGUAUUAGUGGAUUUAUCUAGUUCUUCUUGACAUUCUAUCAGUUUUGUUUCAUGUGUUUUGAGAUUCUGUUAUUAGGUGCAUACAUAUUUUUGAUUUUUUACAUACUCUUGAUAAAGUGAUCCUUUAUCAUUGUGAAAUGAUCUUCUUUGUCCAUGGCAGUAUUCUUUGUUCUGAAGUCGACUUUGUCUGAUAUUAAUAUUGACACUGAAGUUUUCUUCUUAUCAGUGUUAGGAUGGUAUAUGUUUUUUCCAUACUUUUACUUUGGAACUGUUUGUGUAUUUAUAUUUGAAAUGUUUUCUUGUAGGCAGCAUAUAAUCAAAUCUUACUUUUAAAAUCACAUCUGACAUCUCCACUUUUUAAUUGAGACACUGAGACUACUUACACUUAAUAUGAUUAUUGAUACUGUUAGGUUUAAACUUAUCUUCCUGCUAUUCGAUUUCUAUUUGUUCCAUUUGGUCUGUGUUCUCCUUUUCCUUUUUUUCUGCCUUCUUUUAGAUUAAUUGAAUAUUUUUUAUGAUUCCACUUUCUCUCCUGAGUUGGCUUCACUCUGCUUUUUUUUUAAUUUUAGUGGUUGCUUUGGUGUUUAUAGUAUACAACUUGAACUCAUCACAGUUUACCUUAAAAUGGUAUUAUACCACUUCACAUAUAGCAUAAGAACUUAACAAAAGUAUAUUUCUUGCCUCCUAACUUCUGUAUUGUUGUUGGCAUACAUUUUACUUUUACAUAUGUUAUAAACACUGAACUGCAUUGUUAUUAUGUUAAAUAGUCCGUUUUGACUUAAAAAUCCUUAAAGACAAGACAAACAUCUUAUAAAUUUACCCAUGUAGUUACAAUUUCCAGGUCUUGUCAUUUCCUUAUAUAGAUUUUUUUAAAAGAAUUCUCUCCUCUCAGUUUUUUUAAGCUUUAUUUAUUUGAGUAAUCUUGAACUUGAACUUGAACUCACAACUCCAAGAUCAAGAGUCAAAUGCUCCUCCAACUGAGCCACCCAGAUGCCCCUCUUUGUAUAGAUUUCUAUUGCCAUCUGGUAUCAUUUACCUUCUGUCAGAAUGACUUCCUUUAACACUGCUUAUAGUGCAUGUGUACUGGUGAUAAAUUCUCUCAGCUUUUGUAUCUGAAAGAUUUUAUUUUGCCUUCCUUUUUGAGAGAUGUUUUCACUGGCUGUAGAAUUCUAAAUUGACCUUUUUUACUUCCAAUAAAAUAUUGCUUUGUCUUCUCACUUGGUUUUCCCCCCACAAGAAAUUUGCUGUCAUCUUGAUUUUUGCUUCUCUGUAUAUAUGCUUUUUUCUCACUGUUCUUAAGAUUUUCUCUUUAUCACUGAUUUUGCAAAUUUAUUGUCAUAUGCUUUGCACUGUUUGCUUUCAUCUUUCUUGUGUUUGGGGUAUGGUAAGUUUCUUGAAUCUCUGGGUCAAUAUUUUUCAUAAAACUUGGAUUUGGAGGCCAUUAUUUUUUCAAAUUAUCUUUAUUCUCCUACUUUCUUUUCAGAAAUUUCAAUUACACAUGGGUUAAUACACUUGCUGUUGCUCACAACUAAUGGGUGCUCUUUUUACUUUUUUAAUGUGUAUUAUUAUUUUAUUAUUAUUAUUAUUAUUGAGAGAAAGAUAGAGAGAGGGAGGGAUGAAGGGAGGGGCAGAGAGAGGAUGAAACAGAAGAUCUGAAGCAGGCUCUGCACUGACAGUAGACAGCCCAAUGUGGGGCCCGAACUCAUGAACUAUGUAUGAAAUCAUGACCUGAGCUGAAGUUGGACGCUUAACCGACCAAGCCACCCAGGCACCCCUUACUUUUUAAAAUUAUUUUUUUCUACGUGUGCUUUAUUUUGCUAUGUCUUUGAAUUCUGCAAAUAGUUUCUCUUCCAAUGACUAAUCUGCCAUUAAUCCUGUUUUGCAUCUCUGACAUUGCUGUUUUUAUUUCCAGAAUUUUGAUUUGGAUUUCUGUUAUAUCUUCCAUAUCUCUACUUAAGUUUUGAACAUAUGAAAGACAGUUAUAAUAACAGUUUUAACAUCAUUGUUUACAUAUUCUAAUCAGUUUACCUGUUCUGGGUCAGUUUUGAUUAUGUGAUUGUUUUUGUCAUUAUAGGUCAUGUUUCCCUGUUUUGUUUUCGUUUUUGUUUUUGUUUUUGCAAGCCUGGAAAUUUUUGAUUAAAUGCCAGAUAUUCUGAGUUAUGCUUUUAAAAUGUAUCAGGGGUGGGACUGGAACUAUGUUGCCUAACACUAAUUAUCCCUUCUUUUUGAGGUAAAGCCCUUCUGUGUACUCUGGCUGAUGCUUCAUGAAUCAUGAGGUUUUCCAGUAUAGCUAUGGGAAUUACUCUCAACUCACUGUGAGCAUUAUGCACUGUUACUUAUAAUCUUUUUCGGUGGUUCUUUCCCCAGCCUUAGAAUUUUUCACACUUGCAUGCACUGAUCAAUAUUCUGCUAACUACUCAAGAGUGAUGCUCCCACAAAUCACCAAAGUUCUCUCUGUGUGAAGCUAUCUCUUCUCUGAUACCCUGUCUUGCAAAUUCUAGCCAUAUUCUUUCUAGACUCUCAUGCACAUCUCCUUAACUCAGGGAGCCCUUCUGGCUCUGCCUCAGUUCCCUUUCUCUGCACUUCAACCUGGAAAUUCUUCCAAAUCGGUAAACUGGGCUAGUCAUUGGGCUUACUGCAUUUGUUUUUCAUUUCUCAGGAAUCACUGUAUUUUGCCACAUGAUAGUCAAUGUCUUUAAAAACCAUUGUUUCAUAGGUUUUGUCCAAUUUUUGGUUGUUUCUGUUGGGUGAAUAAAUCUGGUGCUUAUUACUCCAUUUGGGCUGGAAUUGGAAGUCUAACUAGUUGUUGCUAACCACAUGGAUUGUUUGCAUGUCAGAAAGUGAUAGUUUGAGCAUUUUACAUAGCAACACAAUUUAUUGUAACUUACAUGUUGGCAUUUGACUGUGUUUUAGUUAUGUUCUAGAAAUUGGUGAGCUGCUUUUGGUUGACAUUUAACCCAUUUUUUUUUCUCAUUUAAAAUAAUGGGAAAUAGGUUCCCGGUUAGCAUUUUUAUGUAGUAUGUCUUAUUUCCUGUAAUGGAUUAUUGAUGCUAAUCGGGAAAUGCCUAUAUUUGGCUUAGACUUUUCUUCUUUCACAUGAAAAUUCUCCUAGAAGUAGCCUGUCUGGGAGACAUGAAGUUUUCAAAGACAAGUGUCUUCUGUCUUUCUUCUCCUUUGUGUAUGAAUUUCAUCUCCCUCAGAAUUACCAGAUGGAGCAUUAGUCAUCAAGUCCACAUUCCAACAGCUCUUAGCUAAGUCAUCCCACUUUUAAUAGAUUUCUCUAGGAGCCUAUCCCAUGCUUUUCUCUUACUGUGGUGGAUAGGCCAACCAUAUCUUCAAGAAAUGGCAUACAAAUGUAGUCUUUUCAUCAGGCAUCUUAUUGCCCUGAAUAAAACUAGAGUUCUGUUGUUAAGCCAUAAGGAGAAAAGGGACAUGGAUAAGCCAUUAGGAGUGCCUGCGAAAUUUGACAAUGGACAUGAAUGACAGGCUAGGUAUUAUGAAUGCAUUUUGAACAUGGAUAUAUCAUAAGGUUUAAAGAAGAUUUUUCUGGAAGUGUAGAGCCAUGGGUUGUAGAAUGGCAGAGGCUGGUGACAGUCUCCUAUUUGGUCUCUCCAUGACAAUAAUCCAGGAAUGCAGCAUUGAAGGCCAACAAUGGAACAGAUAAAGGAAAUUCUUCAAAAUACUUAUCCAAAGAAGAAACUUUAGGAAGCACUAGGUGGCAGAUGGGAUAUAAAGGGCAAGUAGGGCAAAAAAGAGUGUGUAGCAAAGAAAGACUAGAUUAUGAAAACUCAUGGAGUGUCAGAAAACUCAUGGAAGUCACUACUCCACAUCUGGUAAGUUGGGUCCUGCCCAGGACUUGAGACAAUGAUGUCUGCAAAAAUGCACUGAAGACUUUCUAUUAGCAAUAGGACUGUUGAAAUAGACUGGCACUAACACAUCUGGAGUCUGUGGUGACCCAAGAUGGGCAGAGUACAGCUUGAUAUGUACAGUAAUCCCCAUCAAAGAUGGUCAGCUCAUUGAGACCAUGAAUGUCCAAGCCUUUGUUUCCAUGUCCCCACAGGAGUUCCCUCUAGGAUAAGGAGCUAAUCCUAACCCCCAACCCUGACGUCCUUAGAGCCUGCCAGCUUCUGUAUCCAAAGCCAGUUCUAUCUUUUGCCAUAUCAAAGAUAUAAUAGGAAAAUAAUAAACAUGUUGUAGUAAAAGAGUAAAUAUCUGGGGUCAGACCAGUCAAGACAGAAUUAUUGGUCAAUAUUUUGUCAGUUGGAUGACAUUGGGUAGGUUACUCUUUUUCUCUGAACCACAUUUACUGAUCUGAAAAAGGAGAAUAAUUAUAAUAAUACCUGCCCAAAUACUUUUUUUUUGUGAGACUUAAUCAUGUUUGUCAAAGAACGUGGCAAUUGAAGAGCUCAGACUUUGGCCUUGGCUCAGUCCAUUUACUCAAGUUGCUUCACUCCUUUGGGUCUUAAUUUCCUUAUCUGUCCUUUUACAGAGCUUAAAAACCAGUUUUUGGCAUAUAAUGUCUGCUGAAUAAAUAUUUGUUAAAUAAAAUUCUGUUGGAUCUAUAAAACAAAACAUUUCAUUUAGAUUAGCAUUUUCCAAAGUAUGUGUUGUGAGACGCUGAUGAAUUGAUAACGCAUAUUACAAAAACCCGGGAAGAUAUUGUCAUUGGUGACACCCACAAAGCCACCAUACCUAUUUUUUCCUGUCUUUAAAUAUCCAAACUAUUAAUAUUUACUUAAUAGUAUUUUAUAGAAGAAGCCACUGUUCAUUCGCCUCUUUUGAUUUUCAAUCAAUUCUUGCCACUGCAAUCUAUUUGGAUAUAGGGGGACAUUGACUUAGCUAAAUCAUAAUUAGAUAUUAGUUGGUGGCCCUAAAUUGGACAGCAAUUUUCCUGAAGGCAGGGACUCAUCAACCUGUGGGCUUGUCCUUGCCCCUGAUGUGGAGUAUAAUGGGAGCGGGAGACAUGCUUGCUCCACAGAUGGUUUAAUUUGUACACCUGGUAGUCCAGUUGCUCAACCAAUUGGCUUCCUUAUUGAAAUGACAGCUAAUUUAAAGAAUAAAUGGCUAUUUAAUAGAAUGGGAAACCAUUAAACCCAGAACCUUCUAAUAAAGACUGAUUCUUAUGUAAGUCUUAUGAAGUGUUAAUUACUGGCUCCUGAGAAAAGGGAAGAAUGAAAUAUUGCCCGUGGAGUGCUUGUUGCCUCACUGUGAACUCAGACUCUACCUUGAAUAAUACUGACAAUGCUAAUAAUAAUAAAAAUGCUGCUGCUGCUCCUUUAUUUUUCAGUUGUACUUUGUGGUUUCAAAACCAUGUAAAUGUGGAGAAGUAAUUGAAUACAAAGGAAAGAGAACAGGCUGUGGAUUCUGUUAGAUCUGGGUUCAAAUCCAACCUCUACUGUCUGUGUUCUCAAUGCUACCAUCUGAAAAAUGAGAAUAACAAUACGUAUUAUAAAUGUUAGGGACUUACUAGAGCCCCCCCCAAAAAGAAUUGAAAAUAAGGAAAAUAAAAAUUGUGUUUGAGAAUUAACCUUAAACAUCAACACCGUGACUCAUUGUCCGAUAGUCCUAAAAAUACAAAAUGACUGUGAGACCUGGUACCAAAUGCAAUCAGAAUAGCAGCUGCAGUUAGCUAUGGAAACAUAGCAGAACAUUACAAACACAAUUGUCCAAAUAUCAGAAAAGGGAGACAGAGUAUGAGCCAACAAAUUUCGGAUGUUUCCUGCCCAACAGGAUAGACUAUACCUAACAUAGAAAUAAAGAUGCAGUAGAUUAAAAGCUCCUCACGUCAGAAGGUAGAGUGUAUUCCUCCACCCUUGAAUACAGGUUUGUCCAUGUGACUUGCUUUGGCCAAUGGGACACUGGCAAAUAUGGCACAAGCAAAGGUUUGAACAGUGCUUACAGAGUGAGGCUUGCCUUCUCUUGCUGCUGAUAUCUUUUCUCAUCAUGUGAAUAAGACUGGAGGAUGAGAGCCUACCUGUGGGGAGGCCUCAACUGUUCAGCCAUCUGAACCAUCACAUUUGAGGCCCUGUACGUACGAGUGAGGCUGUCUUAGACCAUCUAGCUCCAAACAAGUCUCCCCAAACAAGUCUGUCCUAGACCAUCUCCCCAAACAAGGAGAACCACAGAACCACAGCUAACCCACAGCAUUAUGAAGAAUGGUUGUUUGUUGUUUUAAGUCAUUGAGUUUUGGGGUAGUUUGUUCUACCACAUCAGACACCAGAAGACUUUUUAGCUUUCGGUAUUCCGGUCCCAGGGGUGAGGUCAUCCACUCUGUAUAUAUGUAUAUGAAUGUAUCAGGCAAUUUUACGUUGACAUCAUCAAAGACUCCAUUCUCCUCACUUCUUUUACCCUGAGGCCAUGCUCGCCAACAAAUGUCUAAUCAUGAUCUGGCCUGUCACAUAGUUUACCUAGGUGGACAAUGGACUGACCACAUGAACCCCAAGGAUUCCUAGCCCCCGGUAAGGCAAUUAUUUAUGACAAAUUAAUGACGUGUCUUCUGACCAAGGUUUGGCUUCAGGAGCGUAUAUCCUAUGUCUCUAAACAUUUGCUCUCCAUUCUUCUCUAUCCUGCUCUUUAGUCCAGAAAGUUCAUCUGUAUAGAUUCCUUCAAGGAACAAUCUUGCCUUGUGGCUUCUUAUUGGGCUUCCCCAGUGGAAAGCUUUACCUGGAAACUGGAGAGAAGGAGAGUGAUUUCAGAGGAUUGAUCCUUACAGUACCUCCCUCUAAGAUUGAUUUGGGUAAGCUGAGUUCCUGGACUGAAGAUUGCUGCUCCUGUCAAGAUAAUCCCUUCUCUAAAACUUUCUCUUUGAAACCAAUCCUUUCCCUCAUCUUUUCAGGCUUAGAGGUAAAAAUGGAGCAAUUUUUACUCCAGUUCUGCACUAUCCUAUCUGGUUUCCCUACUCCUGCCCACACUUUUGUAAAUAACUCUUUUAUUAAGCCUUUUCCCAAUUAUCCUGAUCUCAGCAUGCCAUCUGUCUCCUGUUGAGCCCUGACUGAUACAUAUGCUAAGCACGUGGGUUUGAGUAUCUGGUUUGUCUGAUGGUGGUUUCUCUUUGGCUUAUGAUUUACCCUUGAGAGAUGGUUCCACAUUCACUGAGCCAAUGUAGUCGAGUUUUUAGGCCCACGAGGCUGAGAGUCAGACUGAAAUUCACAAAGGUAACAAAUUCCUCUAGGAACCAGCCAGCUGGCCUUUUCCCUUCUGGAGUGGAGAACAAGAAUUGUACUUGUCUGUAUUUCUACAAUACCCACUCUUCAAGGUGGCUGUUAGGAUUAGAUAAAAUGCAUGCAAAUUGCUUUGUGCCUUUGUAUCUGCCAUCUUGUAAAUUCUCAACAUGUUAAGAACUGCUGUUAUUGUGGUUUUUUUUAAAUUUUUUUUAACGUUUAUUUAUUUUUGAGACAGAGAGAGACAGAGCAUGAACGGGGGAGGGUCAGAGAGAGGGAGACACAGAAUCUGAAACAGGCUCCAGGCUCUGAGUUGUCAGCACAGAGCCCGAUGCGGGGCUCGAACUCACGGACUGCGAGAUCAUGACCUGAGCUGAAGUCGGCCGCUUAACUGACUGAGCCACCCAGGUGCCCUGCUGUUAUUGUGUUUAAUGUUCCUUUGCAUAAUAUGGUCUUUACCAAAUGAUGUGUAAUAUUUUUCUUGGGCUCCUUUUUGGGAUGCUUGUAUUAGGGUGCAUAACAUUGAGAUUGCGGGGCUUGGGAUAAAAAAAGAGAAUGUAGGUGAGGCAUGAUUUACAUGGGUGCACACAGCUUCUAAAGCCUUGUGACAAGGCACCAAACGGAAAGGAUUCUGAUUUAGCAGUUGUCACAUAAGCAUAUUCCAUGAGUCAAACAUGGAGGAAAAAAUGGAGCACUUGAAGUAAAAUAAAUAGUUUUGCCAGUUCAUUGUAAUUAAGCAGUCAUGGAGCACUUGAUUUGCUUGUGCCCGGAAAGGUUGGUAUAAGAGUCAGGGGGGUGACAGGUGGAUCCCUUCUGGGACAUGGCAUGGUGGCAAGAUGUGUAAGUUUCCUUGUUAUGUACUAAGGAGUAUGGACAGUCAAGUAAAAAGAUUCCCUAGCAUUCUCUCCUUUUCAGAGCAAGCCAGUAUCCAAGGCGCCAAGUAAGGAGGCAAAGUAAAGAGGGCCCUGGUAAUGUCACUCACAUCUCUUCCCAUUAUGGAUUCAGGGGAAGAGACACCAGGAAUGUGCACACACACACGGUGAAGACCAACUUGAGGACACACAGAGACAAUGUGACCGUCUCAAGCCAAGGAGACCUCAGGAGAAACCAAACUGCUAAUACCUUGAUCUUGAACUUCCAGUCUCCAGAACGGGCCCAUGGAGUGGUGCUUAACUCAUCCCAACCAUAGACAAACCUUCUGGAAAUUGUGCUAAUGCACAGCUGAAUAAGAAGAGAUCAGAGAUACCAAGGCCAUGGAUGGAGCUUUAGAGAAGUACUUUUCAGGGAUCACCAGUGCUCUGGUGCCAAGGAAAAGAAGACAGCAAAAAAAGAAGAAAGAGCAAGCGCCAGCUUUACGAAAUAAAUGAAGACAAUGACUGCUGAAUUUUUUUCUCGCAUGUGGACAAUGGAAUGUGAAGUCAAGAAAAUCUUUCCGAGGGGCAUCUGGGUGGCUUAGUUGGUUAAGCAUCCGACUCUUGAUCAUGGUCAUGAUCUCAUAGUCAUGAGCUGCCAAGACUUUGGGCUCCACACUGAGUGUGAAGCCUGCUUAACAUUCUCUCUUGCUGUCCUUCUGCCCCUGCCCCUCUCUAAAAAGAAAAUCUUCCAGAAAACGUAUCACAAAGAGGAUGGGGUGGGAUGGAAAAGGCAAGAAGGAUCUAGCAUGUAUGGCUUACAUCCAUUUGGUCAUAUGGUCCAGUUCAAAAUUCUCUACUAAGAGAGUUUCUUUUCUUUUGUUCUAGUGACUUUUACACAGACACAGAGCAAAGGGAAGUAACUGUCUUUUGAUUGGCAGGAAGAGUGACCUGUAUCUCAAAUAUCCCAAGCAGCUUCUUUUCCAGCUUCUAGUUCUAGAUGGGAACUGCUAAAUGCCAACAUUCAGCCCUGAAGUUUCUCCAAAACCUACUAUCCAUUAAUAUGUAUAUUAAUACCUACUGUAAGUUCUAAUUUUCCAUAGUAGUCUUCCAAACACUCAAAGUUGGGGUGACUGGGUGGCUCAGUCAGUUAAGCAUGCAACUCUUGGUUUUGGCUCAGGUCAUGAUCUGAUGGUUCAUGACUUUGAGCCCCACAUCGGGCUCUGCGCUGACAGUGUGGAGCCUGCUUGGGAUUCCCUCUUUAUCCUUCUCUCUGCCCCUCCCACUCUCUGUCCUUCUCUCAAAAUACAUAAAUAAAAGUUAAAAAAGAACAAAAACUUGAAGACAGAAGAUACUAGGCUAUGAUCAUUUUCUUUUUGAAAGUCAUAGUUUUCCAUCUUUACCCACUUACCUUGGAAGAAAUUGAAGAAUUUCUCUAAAGACUUUGAAAGCAAUACUGUGAAGGAGCAGGGGAAGUACAGGACUCUGGGGCUCAGGGGUGUUUCUAUCCCUUUUUACUUUCUUGUUUGGGUACCAGCCAAGGGUUUUGAAAAGUCUUGACAAGUUCUGUAGGAAGGCAGUGUCAUACAAUAUGCCAUGUCAGAUGGUAUGUAAACAUUUCUGUAUUCCCCAGAAAAAAAGGUGCUGCUUCUUCACUCAUUUUUGUUGUUGUUGAAUCAAUACUUAUUGAAUGUUUACUAUGCAUAAACUUUUAUUCUAGGCAUAGGCUAAUCAGGAGGGGACAAAGAGGACAUAAUUCCGAACCUCAGGAAACUCACAGUCCUUUCAGAUGGGCACUGGAUUACUCACGUUUGCUGUUACCUGUAUAUCUCUUUCCAGACUUCAGAACCCUCUUCUGUUGGAUAUUCCAAACAUAUCACCUUUUUUUUUUGUCUCUUCCCCUUUCAUGCUUCCAUCCUCCAGUGUCCUGUCCCCUGGCCUGCAUUUCCCUUCACCUGCUCACAUGUACUUUUCUUCCUUAAUAUUUCUUCUCCGUCAUUUAGGAACCCUUUGUCACUUCACAAUCCCUGACAUAUAGUUAGUGCUGUAUACAAUCUCAGAGAAUGAAUGAGUAUCUAAAUGGACUAAGGUCGCAUAUAAAUGAGUUUUAAGACUGUGCGGGCAGAGGUUUGCAGAGGUAAAGGAAAGAAUAUUUUGGUUGGAGUAAGUUUGGAAGGUCUCAUCACACACACACACACACACACACACACACUUUUGAAAAACUCAAGUAACAUUACAUCUUCCUAUGAUCCUUGAGACAUAAAAUCCUUUGCCUCAGUAGGCAUUCAACAAAUAUCUGACUGUUUGAUGCCCUAGAGUUCACAUGACUGUUACAAAAGCAUUGACUGACUGAAUUUACGUAGAUUGAGUAUUCAUUUCAAAAAUGUUUUUUUAAGUUUUUUUUAAUGUUUAUUUAUUUCUGAGAAAGAGAGACACAGAGUGCAAGCAGGGGAGGAGCAGAGAGAGAGGGAGACACAGAAUCCGAAGCAGGAUCCAGGCUCUGAGCUGUGAGCAUGGAGCCCAAUGCAAGGCUCGAACUCAUGAACCAUGAGAACAUGACCCGAGCUGAAGUUGGAUUUUUAACUGAGUGAGCCAUCCAGGCACCCCUUAUUUCAAAAAUGUGUUAAGAUGGAUUUUUAAUACACUUUAUAUUAGCUUUGAAAUCCAAGUGGCCACUGUAGCUUUGUGGCUUUUAAAUCAAGCCUUAUUUGUUACUCCUCAUGAAGUGAUUUUAUAGGUUGUUGACUAUUUUAUGGGACAUUCUUGCUGUUAUUCUCUGAAUUGCAUGCUGAUCCCUGCUGGAGAAGGGUAACAGUGCUGUAAGUAUAUUUUAUCCUCUUGUUGUGUACUUUUAUUGUAGACAGGCCUAAGAAAAUCAGAUGAUGUUAAUACAUCUAUACACUGAACAAUUCCUGGGGCCAGUGGAAAUGACCAGGUUUCUUGGGAUGAAAACAGAGAUCACAGCUUUCUCUGACAACUCUCUCUCUCUAUCUAUCUAUCUCUGCCUUUAGAGAGUCCACCUCAUUAACUGCACCGUCUCCCUUAGAUAUCUUCCUGAUGUGCAGCUUGAAAAUCUCCCACACCUCUAUGAUGCAGUCUUUAUACUUGUCUCCUGAGCUCUGCAGGACAUAAGCUGUUCUUUCCACCUCAUAAUAUUCGUGACAAAUUCAAACUUUCUAAAUAACUCUUCCAUGAAUCUAAGGGGAAUGGAGAACUUACAGAAGGAUAACAAGCAUCUCAAUGUACAGACUCCUGAUCCUGAUACUACAAGUCUAGCCAGAGAUCAACUUCUUUGACCAUAUUAACUCAGGACCUGAUCUUCUUCCUUCCCACUCUCCAGGUUUGGAAUGCUAGAAACCAUACACUCAGCAAUCUAGAAGGUUAAGAUUAAAGGGUAGCUUCUGACAGGCACCUCUAUGAAACCUGCUGGAAUUCUCCAUCCUCCCCAAAGCGACUGCAGCCAACAAGCCAUUCCCUGUGACUUGGUACUCUCAUUUAUUCAUUUGUUCAGUCCACAAAUAAUUUUUCUUUGUUUUGAACAACUGUCAAAUACAUCAUGAUCGUGGCCCUGGAGGAUUUCACAGUCCAGUCGGGGGCUUCUCUGGAUCCUAUGACUUACAGAAAGAAAAUUUCUCCCCUAACUUUCUCUAGGAUUCCUUCUCUGAGUUUCAAGUCAGUUUUCACACAUUCUUGAGUUGUCUCUGGCUCUGGACACUUGGGUUCUAGAAGUCCUGCCAUCAUCCUCAAUUCCAUUCCCUCUCUCGUUGUCUCUUGCCAACUAUUAAGCCUAAUGGUUUUUUGAAAAAUCUUUUUGUUGUAAAACAAUUAUAGAUUCACAGGAAGUUGCAAAGACAGUACAGAGAAGUUCCACAUACACUCACUCCGUUUCCCACAGUGGUUACAGCUAAUGUAAUUCUAGUACAAUAGCAAAACCAGGAAAUUGAUGUUGAUACAAUGUGUGUGCAUGGUCUCUGUCAUUUUAGCAUGCGUGUGCAUUCAUGUAGCCACCGCUGCAAUCAAGAUACAGAACUCUUCCAUUGCCACAAAGACCCUCCUUCACUCUACGCCUUUGUAGGUACACCUGCUCCCCUUCCUCCCCGAUCCCUAGCUUCUGACAACUAUGAAUCUUUUCGCUAUAAUGCUGUCACGUAAAGAAUAUUAUACAAAUGAGAUCAUACAGCAUCUGACCUUUUGAAGUUUCUUUUUUUUUCACUAGGCGUAAUGCUCUUGAUAUCCAUCUAAGUUGUUGCAAGUCUCAAUAGUUCAUUUCUUUUUAUUGGUGAGUAGUAUUCCAUAGUAUGGAUUGUACCACUUAUUGUGUGUGAUUCACCCAUUGUGGGACAUUUGGCUUGUGUUUGAUUUUUGGCUACUACAGAUAAAGUUGCUCUGAACAUA